AUCUAUUCACCGAGAUUGGGGGGGGAGUGUUACUAUGCUGCCCCCUUUCCCCCUUCAGGUGUCAUUUUUCUUUUCUCUUUAAUUGCAAGCAAGGUUGGUUGAUGUACAGUAUAACGAUCAUGGCUACAAAGUGUAAUAAUAUAAUAGUGUUAUACAGUGGUACCUCGGGUUACAUACGCUUCAGGUUACAGCCUCCGCUAACCCAGAAAUAGUGCUUCAGGUUAAAUCAUUCUCUGGUGGCACGGGGGCUGCGGGAGGCCCCAUUAGCUAAAGUGGUACCUCAGUUUAAGAACAGUUUCAGGUUAAGAACAGACCUCCGGAACGAAUUAAGUAACCCGAGGUACGUGUGUGUGUGUGUGUGUGUGUGUGUACACACACACACACACAUAAAUAAAUAAAUAAAUAAAAUAAAAUAGGCAUUCAGGCUUGUAGCCAGACAGUCAUGCCACUGAAUUCAAUGGGAAUUAAGGUAGUCAUGGCUACCUUGUUCCCUUAGUGUCAAUGGGUCAGCUAUGGGUCUGGAUGCAGCCCUACCUCUUCUAAAUAAUCCACCUUUUAUCCCACCAAGGUCCUUAAUGUAGUCAUGGGAAAACGGUAACUGCUUUGAUUUUUUCCCCUACAAUCAAGUGGUAUAUAAAUUUUAUGAAGAAAAGAAAUACAAAUAAAAUCAUAUUGAGCUUUUACCAAGUCUCUGACUAUAUAGUAAGAUGUGUUCUAUUAAACUUUACCAGUCAUGGUAAAAUUAAAUUGUGGACACGGUACCUAUCUUUAUUUCCUCCAUCAUAAAACUGAAGUGUUAUGUACAUUAUUAAAGCCGUAUAGAGCAGUGUUUUUCAACCUUUUUUGGGCAAAGGCACACUUGUUUCAUGAAAAAAAUCACGAGGCACACCACCAUUAGAAAAUGUUAAAAAAAUUAACUCUGUGCCUAUAUUGACUAUAUAUAAAGUAAUUCUCUUCAAUAGGAAUCAAAUAAACACAAAGAAAGUAUUUUAUAAUUACUUUAUUAUGAAAUAGUAAGUAAACAGAAAUAUGAAAAAUUAUAAAAUACUUUAUUCAAUGCGCAACCUGGGCCUGUUUGGCUGAACACAAAGCUGAUAUUCUGGCUGGAAUCGAAGAAAGACACACACGUAGCUCUUCGUCAAUAGCUCUCAGUCUCUCUCUGUAUUUAGUUUUUGUAGCAAUCAUGCUUGAAAAGCUCAUCUCACACAGAUAUGUAGUGGAAAAUGGGAGCAAUGUCAAAAUAGCUUUGUUUGCCAGAAGGGGGAACUCCUUGGCAGUAUCCAACCAAAAACUGUCCAAAGGUAGAUCAGCAAAUCUUAGCUUGAAACCACGAUUUUGUCUCAGUUCAGUUAGUUCCUCCUGCUCCUGUAAAGUCAUGUCCUUUCCACCAACUGAUGCUGAGCUAUAAGGGUCCCUAACACAGUCAAGGCAUUCAGUGGAGACUGAAGAGAAAUAAAAUGACAACUUCUCCGGUCCUCCUGGUGACUCGAGUUGCGACGUCUUCUUCUCUCCGCUGCUGCGCACAGUGUGCUCGGGCGGGAAGGAAGUCGGAAGAUUAUGUCCUACUGUGAUAGGUCCAGGCUGGAGUCUGGAUCAAUCACAGCCCGGACAUCAGAAAAGUGGAGGGUGUCCCCCUGAGGAGCGCCAAUCGGCGCCCCUGCUGGCCGAGGGUGGGGUCAAAAACCCCACCCCACCCCAUACCCAGGACACAGUCCGGCGCCCGCCUAGUGGGGGAAAAUUUGAAUUUAUUUUUUCUUUCGAAUUUUUCAAUUUUUCCCACGGCACACCAGGCAACAUCUCGCGGCACACUAGUGUGCCGCGGAACAGAGGUUGAAAAACACUGGUAUAGAGUCAUCAUUACCGUACAAUGCUUUUUGAUACAAAAAAAAUGCAUUUACCCUGCAGCCUCUGAGGAUAAAUCCCAUUGAACUCACUGGGAUUUUACUUCAGAGUAGACGGGCCUAGGAUUGUGCUGUUAAUUAUUAUAAAUAAAAUUAGCAGUAGUAAUGAAAGAAAACAGCACAAUACUAAACAUAUUUAAGCAGAAGCAGGGUGUUUUAAAUACCUUCCUCCUGUUGCAGCCCUUUGAAAUGGAGUAAAUAAAUAAAAAAUACAACUAAAUUUAACAAAAUUGGCUCAGAUCCAACUAAAUUUAGUCAUGUUUAAGUCUCUAGGUGGGUGGGUGACAAAACAGUUUUGUCACUACUAACAUAAAUCCUAUCCGUUUCCACUUAAGUGCUGCUCACUGCUGUGUAUGAAGAAACACUGAUUUUCAUUUUGAAGAGGAAAGAAAGCUGGUGUUUCUGUCUUCAUUCAUCAUAUCAGUUGCCUGCAAAUCACAGCCUUGCAUUGUGUGUGAAGGGAGCAACUGUACAAGGUGCUUUGGGGUUACUUAGAGAACUGCAGCUCCAAUUUCAAUAAUAAGGCUUAACGGCAGCCUGAGAAGAAUUUAUUGUCCACAAUGAUAGUCUAAAGCCAAAUCCACUCACUCCCGAGACUCUGCAAAGGCAGCAAUUAGGCAGCAUUUUAUUGGGCUGCAUGGAACACACGGAAGAUGCUGUCAAACUAAUCUCGAGAGUUUAGACAGAAAAUUGGUUUCCUGGAUAGAGAACAUAAGAAAUCUGGCAACCUGAAGAUAUUUAAAGAACUUAAAGCUCUCUGGAGAGAAGCUCACGUUAUUGAGCUGGAGACAGCUGAACAUCUGCAAAGAGGAGAAAAAAGGAGUUUUCAAUGAACAGCACCAAAGUGCUCCAUAAUUUUGGUGCAGCAUCUAAAACAGCAAUGAAAACCUUAGCAUUAAUUUGCAGCCGUAACUUGCAGCUAAGGACUCAAUUCAAGGCUCCAGGCCUAAAAUGGCAAUUUCCCAGGUAGGUAUCAGAUCAGCAUUAUUAGGCACUGGAAAUGUCUAAAAAAUGUAAUAGCCAUUAUUCAUUGCUGCACAGCACUCCUGAGGGUGUCAUCUUCCAAUGAAAGGCUGCCCCUUAAGGCCAAGUAAGAUGUAAUGCAAGCAAUGCAUUAUUGGCUCUCUUGAUAAUUUCUUUAAAUCUUAAAAGCCACUGUGGGUGGAUAUGGGAGAGAAUGACUUGGCUCCAUACCUCCCCGUCCCUCACCUCAGCUCAAAGCUGCUGUUGACUACACUCAGGGCUGAAGAUACCGUUCUUUUGCAUCUCUGAAGCACACACAGCACGUUCUUAUAUGCAAAGUGGUUGGGGUUUUUUGGGGGGGGGGAGGAGGGUUUGAGCAGAUGGUCCUUCCUUGUUGGGAGCACUGAUGAGCAAAAUGUUACACAAUAAACAGACAUGGGUUGAUAGAUGAGCUGGCAAAAAUCCUGUGGAUUCCUAUUUAGAAGUAAGCUCCGCUGAGUUUAGUGUCUGUCUUUUUCUCCUUAGUGAGUCUAUUAGCAACUUCUGGGUAUUUAACCCAGUCCUUAGAAAGGUUCUGUCCCAAGACAGGUCACAAAUACAUAAAGACUGCAUAUAUACCAUACAUUUGAAGAACAUUCCCCUCCCCCAAAGAAAAGAAACUUGGGAACUGUAGUUUUGCACCACCCCAGAGUUCCAAUUCCCAGCAUACAUAGCAAACUACGGCUUACAGGAUUCCUUGGGGAGGUGUGAUUUAAAUGUAUGGUGUGUAUGUAGCCAAAAGGUCACCAGGAGAUCUGGUUGCAGCACAUGUAGUUGGAUUCUUAGGUACUAUUUCCUAAAGUGGGGCUUCUCAACUCUCUACUUCCAUUCAGUACACAGGCCCCUUUGUAAGGCAGAGAAUAAAGCAAAAUAAAGCCAUGUGCAUCAGGUACCUGUGUGGUGCAUACCACCAUCAGCUGGUGAAAAACAAUGUUCAGUUUGGCCCACUCCCAUGCAGCUAUUGGCCCUGUUGGUGGAAAAAUAUGAACACACAAGUACCUGUAACUGUGUUUUUUCCCCCAUUGAUGGAUGUCAUAGCAGCUUUGUAAUGGCACAUAAGCAGGGUUAACAUUCCCUUCUCCCAGUCUGCUUUGACAUAAAUUAAAAUCCCUCUGAGGCUGGUUUUAAAUGUUUUUGUUUUUUGUUUUUUGGUGUCACAUCUGUUUCAGUCCUAAGCAACUUAUCCGGAAGUAUGUGGCAAAUGCCACUCUGUUGGUUUAUAUUUAUAAACAGUCUCUCCAAAAGUAGCUGCAAUGAUGUACUGUACAAUAAAACAAAAACAAAUAAAAGCAAUGCAAUAAAACAUCCUCAGCAAUGGAAUAUCUUAAGGUAAGAACACUAUAAAGUUCAUGUCAACAACAUUGGCAACUAUCUCUGUAGGAGUGGCAGAAGAAAUCAUAUUUUACCAAAAACUUCAUAAGUCUGUUGCUUGGCAAGCCUCUCUGUGGUGGGCAUGCCAGACAGCACAUUUUUCCAUUUUCCCAAUGUUUUCUUUAAUUUCUGCUUUUUUAGUUUUCUUUCACACAACAUAAAAGCCACUUCUGUUUUGACUAAUGUACACAUUUUUGCAAAAGAAAAUUCCCAAUAUACGGUAAUGCAUUUUUGUCUGUUAUUUUCACUAAUAUAUUCCUUUUUAUGCACUUUUAUCUAAUACAUUGAUUUUUGUACACAUUGGUCAGCUGCUGAACUCCAUCGCAACAUUCAGAUCGGUGUGAAUCUGGAAGGCUGGCUGUGUUUCAGUUCUCCUACGGUUUCAGAAAGUGCUAAUUUGAUAAAUUCAGCUAUAAAUGUGAACUGAAUCAAAUUCCUCCCCGAUCCUUCGUCUCAGAUGAUAAGACUGAGAGGGGGGAAGCUGAGCAAGUGACUCUCACCACCUGCCUGAGUCUCUGCCACCACACUGCUUGAAUUCCCACUCUUGCUUUGCUGGAUCAUUACAGCCAUGAGGCAUCACUACUGCACCACUGGAACCUCUGCCUGCCAGCUAGGCCAUGGGGAGCUGCUGCUGGGCCCCUUUCUCAUUUGACCGAAGGGCAGCAACUGCCCCACUUCCAGCAGAGGACUGGUCUGGUCAGCAGCCCUCCCACAGGUUCCUUCAAGUCCUGCCUGGCCAAGCCUCAGAAAACUCGGCCAAGUCUUUCACCACCGACUUGAUGAAGCUAUAUUAGACUUGUGGAUGCAGGUGGUGUGGAAGAACGAAGGAGGGGAGUGAGUCCCAUCUCAGGCAGCAAAAACAGCUUUGCACUUUUGUACAAAAAGAUACAAGAAUUUAGGGCUGCUCAUCCAUGAGAGCUGGGUUUUAAUGUUAUUUGGUUUUUAUUCAUUUAUUGUUUUCUAUACUGAUGUAAACACUAUGCUGUUAUGCAACUAAGUCUGUAUAUUCUGAAAACUGGAAGCCCAUUAAAAAAUAAUUAAAAAGAAGAAUUUAGGUAUGCUCCACACGGCGCUAACUUGCACACUAGGAUUUCUUAUCACAGUCAGGAAACUCGAACAAAUGGCUGAGUGGGAGAACGAGCUGAUGGACAGGAUUUGCGUUUUCCUGCUGUAAGGCUGCUGCUAUGUUUGUGAAAACCCUCCUGCUCACAGAGUGUGGGGGCUGCCUUGUCCUUGCUUCUCUCUCCUCUCCCCCUCAAUUUGUCAGUGUGGAUUGUCAGCUGGUUCCCUCUGGGAGUGGAAAAAGGCAAAGAGUGUUUGCAAGAGAACAGAUGGGCAGGAGACGAGGGGGAUGGGCCUGCAAGCCUCUAUGUAUGAGAGGCAGCAGCUAAUACGUCUGGGUCAUUGAAAGAAAGAGGAUGGCAAUAUGAGGCAACAGACUGAAUAAACUAAACAAAAAUGAAACAUGAGGAUUUCAGACAGCAUGUUCUAAAUGGGUAAUCUGGCAACGCUGCCUAACAUUCAUCACCUCCUGGGCUCCGGCACAUGCCUUGAAAGCAAGCGGCGUCCAUCUGAAGUGUAUUUUUUUUGUUUGCCUGAUUUAGGACCUGAUGGAUUAUUUUGGAACAUUGAGGUAUUAAUAAUAAAAUGAGGAC